GAUGAACGCUAGCGGCAGGCUUAACACAUGCAAGUCGAGGGGUAUUGGUUUUCGGACCAAGAGACCGGCGCACGGGUGCGUAACGCGUAUGCAAUCUACCUUUUGCAGAGGGAUAGCCCCAGAGAAAUUUGGAUUAAUACCUCAUAGUAUAGUACUUUGGCAUCAAGGAACUAUUAAAGUCACAACGGCAAAAGAUGAGCAUGCGUCCCAUUAGCUAGUUGGUAAGGUAACGGCUUACCAAGGCUACGAUGGGUAGGGGUCCUGAGAGGGAGAUCCCCCACACUGGUACUGAGACACGGACCAGACUCCUACGGGAGGCAGCAGUGAGGAAUAUUGGACAAUGGGCGCAAGCCUGAUCCAGCCAUGCCGCGUGCAGGAUGACGGUCCUAUGGAUUGUAAACUGC
rnacentral:rRNA from 1 species